rnacentral:rRNA from 1 species
UACGAAGGGGGCUAGCGUUGCUCGGAAUCACUGGGCGUAAAGGGUGCGUAGGCGGGUCUUUAAGUCAGGGGUGAAAUCCUGGAGCUCAACUCCAGAACUGCCUUCGAUACUGAGAGUCUUGAGUUCGGGAGAGGUGAGUGGAACUGCGAGUGUAGAGGUGAAAUGCGUAGAUAUCUGGAGGAAUACCGGUGGCGAAGGCGGCAUCCUGGACCGGCAUUGACGCUGAUGGGCGAAAGCUAGGGGAGCAAACGGG